UACGUAGGGUGCAAGCGUUGUCCGGAAUUAUUGGGCGUAAAGAGCUCGUAGGCGGUUUGUCGCGUCUGCUGUGAAAACGCGAGGCUCAACCUCGCGCCUGCAGUGGGUACGGGCAGACUAGAGUGCGGUAGGGGAGAUUGGAAUCCUGGUGUAGCGGUGGAAUGCGCAGAUAUCAGGAGGAACACCGAUGGCGAAGGCAGA
rnacentral:rRNA from 1 species